rnacentral:rRNA from 1 species
UAAUGUAUGGGGAUCUGCCCGAUAGAGGGGAAUAACUACUGGAAACGGUGGCUAAUACCGCAUAAUGUCUACGGACCAAAGCAGGGGCUCUUCGGACCCUUGCACUAUCGGAUGAACCCAUAUGGGAUUAGCUAGUAGGUGGGGUAAAGGCUCACCUAGGCGACGAUCUCUAGCUGGUCUGAGAGGAUGAUCAGCCACACUGGGACUGAGACACGGCCCAG